rnacentral:rRNA from 1 species
CCUACGGGCGGCAGCAGUGGGGAAUAUUGGACAAUGGGCGAAAGCCUGAUCCAGCCAUGCCGCGUGUGUGAAGAAGGCCUUCGGGUUGUAAAGCACUUUCAGUGGGGAAGAAAGCCUUGGGGCUAAUACCCUCGAGGAAGGACAUCACCCACAGAAGAAGCACCGGCUAACUCCGUGCCAGCAGCCGCGGUAAUACGGAGGGUGCGAGCGUUAAUCGGAAUUACUGGGCGUAAAGCGCGCGUAGGCGGUCUGAUAAGCCGGUUGUGAAAGCCCCGGGCUCAACCUGGGAACGGCAUCCGGAACUGUCAGGCUAGAGUGCAGGAGAGGAAGGUAGAAUUCCCGGUGUAGCGGUGAAAUGCGUAGAGAUCGGGAGGAAUACCAGUGGCGAAGGCGGCCUUCUGGACUAACACUGACGCUGAGGUGCGAAAGCGUGGGUAGCAAACAGGAUUAGAUACCCCUGUAGUC